rnacentral:rRNA from 1 species
CCUGGUUGAUCCUGCCAGUAGUCAUAUGCUUGUCUCAAAGAUUAAGCCAUGCAUGUCUAAGUAUAAGCACUUGUACUGUGAAACUGCGAAUGGCUCAUUAAAUCAGUUAUCGUUUAUUUGAUUGUACUUUACUACAUGGAUACCUGUGGUAAUUCUAGAGCUAAUACAUGCGAAAAAUCCCAACUUCUGGAAGGGAUGUAUUUAUUAGAUUAAAAACCAAUGCGAGCCUUCGGGUCGUUUUCUUGGUGAUUCAUGAUAACUUUUCGAAUCGCAUGGCCUAGAGCCGGCGAUAUUUCAUUCAAAUUUCUGCCCUAUCAACUUUCGAUGGUAAGGUAGUGGCUUACCAUGGUUAUAACGGGUGACGGAGAAUUAGGGUUCGAUUCCGGAGAGGGAGCCUGAGAAACGGCUACCACAUCUAAGGAAGGCAGCAGGCUCGAAAAUUACCCAAUCCCGACUCGGGGAGGUAGUGACAAGAAAUAACGAUACGGGGUCUUAAUAGGUCUCGCAAUUGGAAUGAGUACAAUUUAAAUCCUUUAACGAGGAUCAAUUGGAGGGCAAGUCUGGUGCCAGCAGCCGCGGUAAUUCCAGCUCCAAUAGCGUAUAUUAAAGUUGUUGCAGUUAAAAAGCUCGUAGUUGGAUUUCGGAGUGGGCCAGUUGGUCCGCCGCAAGGUGUGUUACUGACUGGUCUGCUCUUCUUCGCAAAGACUGCGUGUGCUCUUGAGUGAGUGUGCGUAGGAUUUACGACGUUUACUUUGAAAAAAUUAGAGUGUUCAAAGCAGGCUAUUGCUUGAAUACAUGAGCAUGGAAUAAUGGAAUAGGACUUUGGUCCCAUUUUGUUGGUUUCUAGGACCGAAGUAAUGAUUAAGAGGGACAAUUGGGGGCAUCCGUAUUUCGUUGUCAGAGGUGAAAUUCUUGGAUUUACGAAAGACGAACAACUGCGAAAGCACUUGCCAAGAGUGUUUUCAUUAAUCAAGAACGAAAGUUAGAGGAUCGAAGACGAUCAGAUACCGUCCUAGUUCUAACCAUAAACGAUGUCGACUAGGGAUCAGCGGGCGUUAUUGUACGACCCCGUUGGCACCUUACGGGAAACCAAAGUCUUUGGAUUCCGGGGGAAGUAUGGUUGCAAAGCUGAAACUUAAAGGAAUUGACG